CGAAGCUAAGAUUACAUUACAGUUUCAAUUUCUUUGCAAAUGCAAUUUAUUGUGACCAAAAUUAAAAUUGUAGAAUCUCAAAAACCUUGUCACAGUUAAAGUCACAAACCAUAUUUGCAAAAUCCUUAAGAACAACUAAAACCUCUUAGGCAACAUAAAUUUCUCGUCUUAUUCUCACAUUUUCCACACCCAAAAUCUGGAAAAGCCAAAUCCAAACACAACCAUUAUACUUCAUUUUCUUCUCAAAAACCCUCAAUUUCUUUCUUCUCAACAUUUCCAAAACUUUGGCUCUACAAAUUUCGCUUUUUUGAAACCAACAUACACUUUGGCAACAUGGCGAGUCAUAAACGACAUGCCCAAAACCAGCAAUGGUCCAAGAUCUAAAGCCUUAGUCGGAGCCACUGUCGUUCCUCCUCUAGAUGAAGCUCAAUUACCUCCAAUGAGGCUACGACAAUGUUGCCACCGCCUCCGAUGAGGACGACCCGUACAACGUGAGCUCUAGUUCCUGGUGUAAGAAGAGGUGAAACAAAUUUAGUUCACGAAGCGACCCACCACCCACCACCAUCCCUAACGUCACUCUGGCAUAGCCCCACCCAAUACCCAAUAAUGUCGUUGUGGCCAUCAAUUGCGAAUUUAGAUUCGGGUUUUCUAACAGGUUGAAUGAUGUUCAAACAAGACAAAGACGACAAGGAAAGAAAGGAUUAGUCAGUUUUAUUUCUCGAUAGAGGCAAGGGAUAUAACUCAGCGAUUGUGUGUCACCUUGAUGUUGUGGAAGUUAUCAGUUCAAGCCUGAUUAUCCAUAAACCCAAUAUCCUUUGGUGAUCUCGAACCUUGUUUCAUGGGAGCAAAUAAUUAGGUGGAAGACUAUAAAGAAUCUCUUGCUAGAGAACACUGGGACAUAAUGCUCUAAUAGGAUGUGACAGCUGGACAUGAGUUUUAUUUUAAUUGCAUGACGUUCCAAACAUGUAUUUUACUUUAUUUUAUCUCACUGUUUAACUUAAGUUCUUUUGUAAACUUGAAUGACCUUGUUUUGAGUUAAAGAUGUUUUU